rnacentral:rRNA from 1 species
AAAGAUAUAUGUGAUGCACUUCUGCAGCUUGGUAGUUUUUUUCGCCAAUUAUGCUCCAAGACAUUGAAGCUGGAUAUCUUGGAUAAGUUGGAACAACAAAUAGUAAUUGUGUUGUGCAAACUAGAAAUGAUUCUCCCACCUGCAUUCUUUGAUAUCAGCGUGCACUUAGCAGUGCAUCUACCACAACAAGCAAGGCUUGGAGGUCCUGUACAAUACAGAUGGAUGUUCUUCGUUGAAAGGUUCCUUGGUACUUUGAAAGGCAUGGUGAGCAAUAGGGCACACCCAGAGGGUUCAAUUGCUGAAGCUU